rnacentral:rRNA from 1 species
UACGUAGGGGGCAAGCGUUGUCCGGAAUCAUUGGGCGUAAAGCGCGUGUAGGCGGUCUGCCAAGUCUGAUGUGAAAGCCCUGGGCUCAACCCAGGAAGUGCGUCAGAUACUGGUGGACUGGAGUGGCGGAGAGGAUGGCGGAAUUCCCGGUGUAGCGGUGAAAUGCGCAGAUAUCGGGAGGAACACCUAUGGCGAAGGCAGCUCGCUGGGACGUUACUGACGCUGAGACGCGAAAGCGUGGGGAGCAAACAGG